CCUUAUGUAACACAUCGUGGAAACUCAGUGCGCGAAAUUUCAAUGUAAUACAUAGUUGUAUUUAUUGAGUAGUUGAUCGAAAACGAGUUUGUCAUGAUGCGCGUUGUACGUGGAGACUACUAUUUAUGUGGCGCGCUUUCUAUUGAACGAAACCUAGACAGACACACGUGUGCAGCGGCUGCGAGUUUACUUUGCGCUCCCUUAUUCUCGAAAGAACUGUCGGUUGUUGUUUGACGGUUUCUCACGAAAAGGAAUUCUCCUUAUGUUACACAUCAAGACCGAUCACUGGCCGAACUUACAGCAAAGACUGGCGUCUUUGCUGUAAGUUCUUUUGGAAAACCGUCGUAAUUCGUCAGUCCUCUGAAGGUUUCAAAGCCAGUUCCCUGGCCGCAGCCUGGGCCUGCAUGAGGAGUUCAGCCUGGUGGAGGUGCUGAAGGCCGUCAUGAUGCAGCGUGGACUUGGGCCGUAAGAUGAGCGAGUUGGAGAAAAAGCUGAAGUGCCUGCAGAUGCAGCGCAAACUUGUACAAGUAGAGCAAGGUGGCAAAAACGAAGACGAAAAUCCACAAACUGAGCACCAUCAAACCAUCGGAAUUGUGAGGAUCUGACCAGCCCCGAGGUGGACCGUGUCAUCGUCCAGCGACUGAGGGUUGAUGAAGUCAUUGACGUCCUUUACGGCAAGCUGAUGACCUGUUGAUCAUCAAGGGAAUGCGAGACACUUUUCUCUCAUGAGUCCGUCGCAAGCCUCUCCCCAGCAGGGCGCACUAAAUCCUCCAACGUCUCCUGAGUCGUUUCGUCCAAGACACCAA